UACGUAGGCAGCGAGCGUUGUUCGGAGUUACUGGGCGUAAAGAGUGCGUAGGCGGUGCUCCAAGUCUGGUGUGAAAUCUCCCGGCUUAACCGGGAGGGUGCGCCGGAAACUGGGGUGCUGGAGUGUGGGAGAGGUGAGUGGAAUUCCCGGUGUAGCGGUGAAAUGCGUAGAGAUCCGGAGGAACACCAGUGGCGAAGGCGACACGCUGGGCCGUACCUGACACUGAUACGCGACAGCAUGGGGAGCGAACGGG
rnacentral:rRNA from 1 species